UACGUAGGUGGCAAGCGUUGUCCGGAUUUACUGGGCGUAAAGAGCGCGCAGGCGGUUCAUCAAGUCGAAUGUGAAAGCCCCCGGCUCAACUGGGGAGGGUCAUUCGAUACUGCUGGACUUGAAGGCAGGAGAGGGAAGUGGAAUUCCCGGUGUAGUGGUGAAAUGCGUAGAGUAUGGAGAGACGAAGCAGCCGAAGUGGCUCGAGG
rnacentral:rRNA from 1 species